AUUGAACGCUGGCGGCAGGCCUAACACAUGCAAGUCGAGCGAGCGGCGGACGGGUGAGUAAUGUAUGGGGACUGCCCGAUCGAGGGGGAUAACUACUGGAAACGGUGGCUAAUACCGCAUACUAUCGGAAAACCCAUAUGGGAUUAGCUAGUAGGUGGGGUAAAGGCUCACCUAGGCGACGAUCUCUAGCUGGUCUGAGAGGAUGAUUAGACACACUGGGACUGAGAAACGGACCAGACUCCGACGGAGGCAGCAGUGGGGAAUAUGGCACAAGGGGCGCAAGCCUGAUGCAGCCAUGCCGCGUGUAUGAAGAAGGCCUUCGGGUUGUAAAGUUCUUUCGGUAGCGAGGCGUUAACUACAGAAGAAGCACCGGCUAACUCCGUGCCAGCAGCCGCGGUAAUAC
rnacentral:rRNA from 1 species